AUUGAACGCUGGCGGCAUGCUUUACACAUGCAAGUCGAACGGUAACAGGCCGCAAGGUGCUGACGAGUGGCGAACGGGUGAGUAAUGCAUCGGAACGUGCCCAGUCGUGGGGGAUAACUACUCGAAAGAGUAGCUAAUACCGCAUACGAUCUAUGGAUGAAAGCGGGGGACCGUAAGGCCUCGCGCGAUUGGAGCGGCCGAUGUCAGAUUAGGUAGUUGGUGGGGUAAAGGCUCACCAAGCCCACGAUCUGUAGCUGGUCUGAGAGGACGACCAGCCACACUGGGACUGAGACACGGCCCAGACUCCUACGGGAGGCAGCAGUGGGGAAUUUUGGACAAUGGGCGCAAGCCUGAUCCAGCAAUGCCGCGUGCAGGAAGAAGGCCUUCGGGUUGUAAACUGCUUUUGUACGGAACGAAACGGCUCUGGUUAAUACCCGGGGCUAAUGACGGUACCGUAAGAAGAAGCACCGGCUAACUACGUG
rnacentral:rRNA from 1 species